GACGAACCGUGCGACCGUUGUUCGGAAUCACUGGGCUUAAAGGGCGCGUAGGCGGGCCGGACGGUCCGGGGUGAAAUCCCCCCGCUCAACGGGGGAACGGCCCCGGACACCGCCGGCCUCGAGGGGGGUAGGGGCGAGCGGAACGCUGGGUGGAGCGGUGAAAUGCGUUGAUAUCCAGCGGAACUCCGGUGGCGAAGGCGGCUCGCUGGGCCGUCUCUGACGCUGAGGCGCGAAAGCCAGGGGAGCGAACGGG
rnacentral:rRNA from 1 species